rnacentral:ncRNA from 1 species
GCCGUCGCGAGGCGAAAUGUGAAGGAAUCCGGAGGCAAACCCUUGGUCUGACGAACAGAAAUCACAUUAUAUGUUAAGGUUUACUGUUCCUGAUCUGAUACCAUCAAUCCGUUUGGAAAAAGUUGAGGCAGGCUACCGCC